AAGUCGUAACAAGGUUUCCGUAGGUGAACCUGCGGAAGGAUCAUUAGAGAGAAGCGGGCCUCGCGCCCGUGGGGCCUCCGGCCCCGACUCUUCACCCUGUGUAUACUUACCAUUGUUGCUUUGGCGGGUCUGGGGCGUCUGCCCCCGCUGGCCUCAUCGCCGGCGCGUGCCCGUCAGAGGCCCUCAUCACUCUGAUUCUCCAUGCAGUCUGAGCAAACACAUCAAUACAGCAAAACUUUCAACAACGGAUCUCUUGGUUCUG
rnacentral:misc_RNA from 1 species